rnacentral:rRNA from 1 species
ACACUCCUACGGGAGGCAGCAGUGGGGAAUAUUGGACAAUGGGCGCAAGCCUGAUCCAGCCAUGCCGCGUGAGUGAUGAAGGCCCUAGGGUUGUAAAGCUCUUUCACCGGUGAAGAUAAUGACGGUAACCGGAGAAGAAGCCCCGGCUAACUUCGUGCCAGCAGCCGCGGUAAUACGAAGGGGGCUAGCGUUGUUCGGAUUUACUGGGCGUAAAGCGCACGUAGGCGGACUAUUAAGUCAGGGGUGAAAUCCCGGGGCUCAACCCCGGAACUGCCUUUGAUACUGGUAGUCUUGAGUUCGGGAGAGGUGAGUGGAAUUCCGAGUGUAGAGGUGAUAUUCGUAGAUAUUCGGAGGAACACCAGUGGCGAAGGCGGCUCACUGGCUCGAUACUGACGCUGAGGUGCGAAAGCGUGGGGAGCAAACAGGAUUAGAUACCCCGGUAGUCCCAUGAU